UGGGGAAUAUUGGACAAUGGGCGCAAGCCUGAUCCAGCCAUGCCGCGUGAGUGACGAAGGCCUUAGGGUUGUAAAGCUCUUUUUGGCGGGGAAGAUAAUGACGGUACCCGCAGAAUAAGCUCCGGCUAACUUCGUGCCAGCAGCCGCGGUAAUACGAAGGGGGCUAGCGUUGUUCGGAUUUACUGGGCGUAAAGCGCGUGUAGGCGGACUGGAAAGUUGGGGGUGAAAUCCCGAGGCUCAACCUCGGAACUGCCUCCAAAACUUCCAGUCUGGACUCAAGUAGAGGCAAGUGGAAUUGCGAGUGUAGAGGUGAAAUUCGUAGAUAUUCGCAGGAACACCAGUGGCGAAGGCGACUUGCUGGACUUGUAGUGACGCUGAGACACGAAAGCGUGGGGAGCAAACAGGAUUAGAUACCCUAGUAGUCCCUGAGCGGGCUGGCAAGGCGCAU
rnacentral:rRNA from 1 species